rnacentral:rRNA from 1 species
UACGGGGGGGGUAAGCGUUGUUCGGAAUUACUGGGCGUAAAGGGCUCGUAGGCGGCCAACUAAGUCAUACGUGAAAUCCCUCAGCUUAACUGGGGAACUGCGUGUGAUACUGGAUGGCUUGGAUUUGGGAGAGGGAUGCGGAAUUCCAGGUGUAGCGGUGAAAUGCGUAGAUAUCAGGAGGAACACCGGUGGCGAAGGCGGGUCUCUGGGCAACUACUGACGCUGAGGAGCGAAAGCGUGGGGAGCGAACAGG